AAGCGAUAACUUAGAGUUAGAAAGAGCAGUCAAUUCAAUUGAAAGACAGAAAAUUUUUCUACAAUAUGCCUAUCAACAUGAAACAAUUGUUUUCGUUUGAGAACCAGCGCAACCAUAAGUACUAUUCCUGACCAAAGAGGUUGAAAAAUUAAGAGAAUACACUACUAAAAAAUAAUUGUUUUCCUACUAUAAUGAUCCAUUGAAGAAGCUAUUUCCAUAUAUAUUUUGAUGGAAUUUGUCGGAAAAGAAAAAAAGCAAUGUUUACAUACUGAAAAAGAAAUAGUUUAUCACUAUUUCAGUGAGAAUUUGUUCCCACUAUGCAUCUUCCAAUGAGUUGGUUUGGAGAGUAAUGAGUGUGAAACUCAUUUUCUA
rnacentral:misc_RNA from 1 species